GAUGAACGCUAGCGGCAGGCUUAACACAUGCAAGUCGAGGGGCAGCGCGGGAUAGCAAUAUCCUGGCGGCGACCGGCGGAAGGGUGCGUAACGCGUGAGCGACAUGCCCGUUGCCCGGGGACAACCGGUGGAAACGCCGACUAAUCCCCGAUGGGAUACGAUGCUUCAUGGCAUUGUAUUGAAAGUUACGGCGGCGACGGAUUGGCUCGCGUCCGAUUAGCUGGUUGGCGGGGUAACGGCCCCCCAAGGCUGCGAUCGGUAGGGGUUCUGAGAGGAAGGCCCCCCACAAUGGGACUGAGACACGGCCCAUACGCCUACGGGAGGCAGCAGUGAGGAAUAUUGGUCAAUGGGCGGAAGCCUGAACCAGCCAUGCCGCGUGCGGGAAGGAGGCCCUAUGGGCUGUGAACCGCUUUUGCCUGGGGGCAAUAAGGGCGUCGCGCACGUCCGAUGAGAGUACCAGGCGAAUAAGCAUCGGCUAACUCCGUG
rnacentral:rRNA from 1 species